HCACAUGACUCUCGGCAACGGAUAUCUCGGCUCUCGCAUCGAUGAAGAACGUAGCGAAAUGCGAUACCUGGUGUGAAUUGCAGAAUCCCGCGAACCAUCGAGUCUUUGAACGCAAGUUGCGCCCGAGGCCUCUCGGCCGAGGGCACGCCUGCCUGGGCGUCACG
rnacentral:rRNA from 1 species